rnacentral:tRNA from 2 species
GGGCGCGUGGCGGAAUUGGUAGACGCAGCAGUCUCAAAAACUGCCGGAGGUAACUUCGUGCCAGUUCGAUUCUGGCCGCGCCCACCA